UUUUAAAUCGGGCCAAAAUAUUACAAUUUUCACAUAGAAAUACUUGUGAUAAUACUAUUAAGACAAAAAUAUUUUUUCUAGCACUUUACUUUACAAUUUAUGGAGCUAUGACCCCUUAAAUAAACAUAAUUUGUAUUAAAAGGUCAAUUUUGGUACUUUUUUCCAUAAUUUUUAAUUGUUUUUCGCAUUAUUAACCUUGGCCGCUAUCUACGAUCCAAAAAGUUUUUAUAUUGAUGAAAUCUAUAUCAAAAUUGGAAUCUUUUGGUUACAACACAUUUUGGAUCGUAGGUGGCGGCCAAGGUGUUUUUAAAGCUUUUAGGUCUGAAAAAUGCACAAACUCGUCAUAUUUUGACAAAAUGUCCAAAAUGGGUUUACUUUGGAGAAUAUUAUGUUCUCUUAUGAAAAGAACUGAUAUAUUUAGCAUUUAGACUUUUGAAAUAGACCCAUUUACGAACCAAAUUGAGACCUUUGUGGUGUUUUAUGAUAAAGUUGAUAUUUUAGGCCAUUUU
rnacentral:lncRNA from 1 species